UGCGCAGGCGGGUUUGUAAGUCAGUGGUGAAAUCCUGCCGCUUAACGGUAGAACUGCCUUUGAUACUGGUUGUCUUGAGUUACAGUGAAGUAGAUAGAAUAUGUAGUGUAGCGGUGAAAUGCAUAGAUAUUACAUAGAAUACCGAUUGCGAAGGCAGUCUACUAACUGUAUACUGACGCUAAUGGACGAAAGCGUGGGGAGCGAACAGGAUUAGAUACCCUGGUAGUCC
rnacentral:rRNA from 1 species